ACACCCAAUUAUUAGCACGCGUGGUAAAUGAGUAAAAAGGUUUUGAAAACAUUAAUCUUUUGGUAAUUUCGUAAUUUCACACUGAAAAAGAUUAGAACAAUUGUUGAAGUAAAUCUAUUGAGAAAAAAGUAUUAUCAAGAAGUCGUUUAACAAAAUCAUGUGUGCCACAAUUAUUGGAUUUAAUACUUGCAUUUAAUAUUUUGUACAUCCUUUCUUUGCCAAAAAAUCAACAGUCUUCUCCUGUAACAUCUAUUGAGGUUGGAGAAAACAGAGCAAGGAAUGUGAGACUCAGAAAACUCAAACUCUUGUUCAUCCAGGGUCGUCUUUCAUGCACUCGUCUUCAACUCAGGCCACAGGUUUUCAAUGGGGCUUAGAUCAGGGGACUGAUCACCGUGGCAGACACUUGAUGUUGUUUUGGGGUAUGUUUGCUAUUCAAUGUAGCCUGACGUUGUCAUACUCAUAAUUCUAGUCAGAAUAUGAGUCUGAUACCGCUCCGUUGGGCUGUGAGUAUGGGGCGUGUUUCAACCGAACUCAGAAAAAAAUGCCUCUUCGCUCAAUUGUAUAGACCUACAACCAAUUAGAGCAACGUAGUAUGUUGUUUGUUGAAAACAAAUUCAACCCAAGCGCUCUUUGGUGACGUGGUUGAUUACGUUUCUGUUGAUCAUCUGUCCAUCAUCGUAUAAAGACCACCGUGACAAUUCGAUUGGUCCGAACAGCUCUUGUUCGGACAUAGUUUUUCCCCAACCGAGCGACCCCAGACCCAACUUCCUGACCAAAUUUGUUUGUGGGCGGGGCUAAGUUCGGCUGGCACCCA